rnacentral:rRNA from 1 species
UACGAAGGGAGCUAGCGUUGUUCGGAAUCACUGGGCGUAAAGCGCACGUAGGCGGAUUUGCCAGUCAGGGGUGAAAUCCCGGGGCUCAACCUCGGAACUGCCUUUGAUACAGCAAGUCUUGAGUUCGAGAGAGGUGGGUGGAAUUCCUAGUGUAGAGGUGAAAAUUCGUAGAUAUCGAGAGGAACACCGGUGGCGAAGGCGGCGUCCUGGACCAACACUGACACUGAGGAGCGAAAGCCAGGGGAGCAAACGGG